GUGGGGAAUCUUGGACAAUGGGCGCAAGCCUGAUCCAGCCAUGCCGCGUGAGUGAUGAAGGCCCUAGGGUUGUAAAGCUCUUUCGCAGGUGAAGAUAAUGACGGUAACCUGAGAAGAAGCCCCGGCUAACUUCGUGCCAGCAGCCGCGGUAAUACGAAGGGGGCUAGCGUUGUUCGGAAUUACUGGGCGUAAAGCGCACGUAGGCGGCUUGUUAAGUUAGGGGUGAAAUCCCGGGGCUCAACCCCGGAACUGCCUCUAAUACUGGCAAUCUCGAGUCCGAGAGAGGUGAGUGGAAUUCCGAGUGUAGAGGUGAAAUUCGUAGAUAUUCGGAGGAACACCAGUGGCGAAGGCGGCUCACUGGCUCGGUACUGACGCUGAGGUGCGAAAGCGUGGGGAGCAAACAGGAUUAGAAACCCGGGUAGUCC
rnacentral:rRNA from 1 species